GCGGACACGGCGCACGGGUGAGUAACGCGUAUCCAACCUGCCCUUUACUAUGGGACAGCCCGUCGAAAGGCGGAUUAAUACCGUAUGUUGUCAUGUUGAUGCAUAUUUUCAUGACCAAAGGCUUCGGCCGGUAAAGGAUGGGGAUGCGUCUGAUUAGCUUGCCGGCGGGGUAACGGCCCACCGGGGCGACGAUCAGUAGGGGUUCUGAGAGGAAGGUCCCCCACAUUGGAACUGAGACACGGUCCAAACUCCUACGGAAGGCAGCAG
rnacentral:rRNA from 1 species